GAUGAACGCUAGCGGCAGGCCUAACACAUGCAAGUCGAGGGGUAUUAGGAGCUCGCUCCUAAGAGACCGGCGCACGGGUGCGUAACGCGUAUGCAAUCUACCUUUUACAGGGGAAUAGCCCAGAGAAAUUUGGAUUAAUGCCCCAUAGUAUAUAUUAUUCGCAUGUUUGAUAUAUUAAAGUUCCAACGGUAAAAGAUGAGCAUGCGUCCCAUUAGUUAGUUGGUAAGGUAACGGCUUACCAAGACGAUGAUGGGUAGGGGUCCUGAGAGGGAGAUCCCCCACACUGGUACUGAGACACGGACCAGACUCCUACGGGAGGCAGCAGUGAGGAAUAUUGGACAAUGGGCGCAAGCCUGAUCCAGCCAUGCCGCGUGCAGGAAGAAGCAUCUAUGGUGUGUAAACUGCUUUUGUACGGGAAGAAACACCCCUUCGUGAAGGGACUUGACGGUACCGUAAGAAUAAGGAUCGGCUAACUCCGUGCCAGCAGCCGCCGUAA
rnacentral:rRNA from 1 species